GCUCCUGGUCUUUUCUCCCCACCUGAGCUGGGCAUGUUCCCCUUCAUGUAUUUCCUCCCCACUGAUCAAUGGAACCCAGUGACCUUUCUCCUGCUUG